UGGCGGACGGGUGAGUAAUGUCUGGGAAACUGCCCGAUGGAGGGGGAUAACUACUGGAAACGGUAGCUAAUACCGCAUAAUGUCUACGGACCAAAGCGGGGGACCUCCGGGCCUCGCGCCAUCAGAUGAACCCAUAUGGGAUUAGCUAGUAGGUAAGGUAACGGCUUACCUAGGCGACGAUCCCUAGCUGGUCUGAGAGGAUGAUCAGCCACACUGGGACUGAGACACGGCCCAA
rnacentral:rRNA from 1 species